rnacentral:hammerhead_ribozyme from 1 species
AUAUAGCUGACGAGUCCCAAAUAGGACGAAACACGCGUCAAACUGGAC